rnacentral:lncRNA from 13 species
AUGUUUCAUCCAUCCAUCCAGUCAGAUUGGAUAGGAGGUGGGCUUUCCACCAUGUUGCAUUCAUCCAUCCAGUCAGAUUGGAUAUGUUUCAUCCAUCCAUCCAGUCAGAUUGGAUAUGUUGCAUUCAUCCAUCCAGUCAGAUUGGAUAGGAGGUGGACUUUCCACCAUGUUGCAUUCAUCCAUCCAGUCAGAUUGGAUAGGAGGUGGGCUUUCCACCAUGUUGCAUUCAUCCAUCCAGUCAGAUUGGAUAUGUUUCAUUCAUCCAUCCAGUCAGAUUGGAUAUGUUUCAUCCAUCCAUCCAGUCAGAUUGGAUAGGAGGUGGAGAUUCCACCAUGUUGCAUUCAUCCAUCCAGUCAGUCCUGUCAGAUCUGUGAAGGCGAGUGAACGUGGGCUGAGGGGGGAAAACAACAACUUUCUGGAAUGAAAAGCAAUUUUACAUGACCACAACCUUAUUAUUCAUGGACCAAGAAGGCCAGGUGGUUCAUGUUCCAAGCCUUUAGGGACAGUUGACACAGAACACCGCCCUAUGGACACGUAGAGUGACACAACAUACGGUAAAUACUGUACAAACCUACAGUGCCUUUAAAUAUCCACUGAGUCACAUGCAGUGCAUACAGACAGACAUAGAGACAGACACAGUCGACUAUACUGUAGCAACAUUGUGAGGGAGGGAAUGUCAGGUGUAGAAUGAUGCCUAUGUGAUUUAAGACUAUGGAAGUCAGCUGAGCUAAAGCCUAGGGGUUUGUUCUGGGAGCUAACACGAGUUUGUCCUCAAGUCACGAACCAUCUCUGUUACAGUGUAAACAUACAUUGGUAUAAUGUCCACAGGUGAGUGACUAUAACAUGUAAAUAUAUAAGAUAGUAGAAUAAUAAUAAAAAAUAACAGAUUAACACGUUUAGAUACAGUUUAAAACAUUAAACAGCAGGAGCGCUUGUCAGGUAAUGUUUCCCNNNNNNNNNNACUGUACAGGGAGAAUUCUGUACAGGGAGAAUUCUGUACAGGGAGAACACUGUACAGGGAGAACACUGUACAGGGAGAACGCUGUACAGGGAGAAUUCUGUACAGGGAGAAUUCUGUACAGGGAGAACACUGUACAGGGAGAAUUCUGUAGCUGUACAUUUCAAAAGUGCUUAACAAAUAGUUAUAUUGACUAUGUCCGUCCUAGCUCGCUCAUUAAUGUCUUAAUCCAAAUUACAGAUUGCCUCUUAUCCACUUGUCAUCCCCUUAUGCCAUAGUUUGUACAUCUCAGUUGUCAGUAGAAACCACAAGUCAGCCAUAUCAGAUACAUUUUUUUAAAGAAGUAAAUGAGUGAAAACAUGUUUCUAAAAAAUAUAUAUACAGUGCCUUGCGAAAGUAUUCGGCCCCCUUGAACUUUGCGACCUUUUGACACAUUUCAGGCUUCAAACAAAGAUAUAAAACUGUAUUUUUUUGUGAAGAAUCAACAACAUGUGGGACACAAUCAUGAAGUGGAACGACAUUUAUUGGAGAUUUCAAAGUUUUUUAACAAAUCAAAAACUGAAAAAUUGGGCGUGCAAAAUUAUUCAGCCCCCUUAAGUUAAUACUUUGUAGCGCCACCUUUUGCUGCGAUUACAGCUGUAAGUCGCUUGGGGUAUGUCUCUAUCAGUUUUGCACAUCGAGAGACAUUUUUUCCCCAUUCCUCCUUGCAAAACAGCUCGAGCUCAGUGAGGUUGGAUGGAGAGCAUUUGUGAACAGCAGUUUUCAGUUCUUUCCACAGAUUCUCGAUUGGAUUCAGGUCUGGACUUUGACUUGGCCAUUCUAACACCUGGAUAUGUUUAUUUUUGAACCAUUCCAUUGUAGAUUUUGCUUUAUGUUUUGGAUCAUUGUCUUGUUGGAAGACAAAUCUCCGUACCAGUCUCAGGUCUUUUGCAGACUCCAUCAGGUUUUCUUCCAGAAUGGUCCUGUAUUUGGCUCCAUCCAUCUUCCCAUCAAUUUUAACCAUCUUCCCUGUCCCUGCUGAAGAAAAGCAGCAGUGGGGAUGGUGUGUUCAGGGUGAUGAGCUGUGUUGCUUUUAUGCCAAACAUAACAUUUUGCAUUGUUGCCAAAAAGUUCAAUUUUGGUUUCAUCUGACCAGAGCACCUUCUUCCACAUGUUUGGUGUGUCUCCCAGGUGGCUUGUAGCAAACUUUAAACUACACUUUUUGUGGAUAUCUUUAAGAAAUGGCUUUCUUCUUGCCACUCUUCCAUAAAGGCCAGAUUUGUGCAAUACACGACUGAUUGUUGUCCUAUGGACAGAGUCUCCCACCUCAGCUGUAGAUCUCUGCAGUUCAUCCAGAGUGAUCAUGGGCCUCUUGGCUGCAUCUCUGAUCAGUCUUCUCCUUGUAUGAGCUGAAAGUUUAGAGGGACGGCCAGAUUUGCAGUGGUCUGAUACUCCUUCCAUUUCAAUAUUAUCGCUUGCACAGUGCUCCUUAGGAUGUUUAAAGCUUGGGAAAUCUUUUUGUAUCCAAAUCCGGCUUUAAACUUCUUCACAACAGUAUCUCGGACCUGCCUGGUGUGUUCCUUGUUCUUCAUGAUGCUCUCUGCGCUUUUAACGGACCUCUGAGACUAUCACAGUGCAGGUGCAUUUAUACGGAGACUUGAUUACACACAGGUGGAUUGUAUUUAUCAUCAUUAGUCAUUUAGGCCAACAUUGGAUCAUUCAGAGAUCCUCACUGAACUUCUGGAGAGAGUUUGCUGCACUGAAAGUAAAGGGGCUGAAUAAUUUUGCACGCCCAAUUUUUCAGUUUUUGAUUUGUUAAAAAAGUUUGAAAUAUCCAAUAAAUGUCGUUCCACUUCAUGAUUGUGUCCCACUUGUUGUUGAUUCUUCACAAAAAAAUACAGUUUNNNNNNNNNNGGAGCAGCCCAGACAUCAGCCUGGAGCCGCCCAGACAUCAGCCUGGAGCAGCCCAGACUUCAGCCUGGAGCAGCCCAGACAUUGGCCUGGAGCAGCACAGACACUAGCCUAGAGCAGCCCAGACAUCAGCCUGGAGCAGCCCAGACAUCAGCCUGGAGCAUCACAGACACUAGCCUAGAGCAGCACAGACAUCAGCCUGGAGUAGCCCAGACACACAGAGACAGUAACCCAGACACACACAGAUGUGUCUAAUGGAGUCGGACGGACUGAAUUCCCACAGGGUCAGAGAAAGAGAAGGAAGAAGAAAGGGUAGGAGGAUAGAAACAUGAGAGGAAGGGAGAGAGAGAGAUAGGAAGGGUUGAGGGAGAGGGCAGAAGGAGAGGAAGAUAACCUUUGGUUUAGCUUCCAAUUUCACUUUUGGUUUCUUCUCUCUCUCCCUUCCCCUCUUCACUCCACUCCUGUUUAUCUUCCAUUAUCUUCUCUCCCAGACCCUCCUUUUCUCUCCUUCACUGGAAUCCCUUCAUCUCGCUCUCUACAUUUCAACCAUUUAUCCUAUCCAGAGUGACAAGACGAACUACAGUUAAAUUCCUUAUUCAAGGGCACAUCGGCAGAUUUCUUACCUAGUUGGAUCAGGGAUUUGAACCAGCAACCUUUCGGUUACUGGCCCUAUUCUUCUCUCUCUCUCUCUCUCUCUCUCUCUCUCCCUCUCUAUCUCUCUCUCUCCUCAAACUUUGUCUGGCCGUGGCAGACUAGCAGUCUUUCUCUCCUUCCUUCUUUCAUCAUCUCUCACUCUCCUCACUUCCUCUUCUUUCUCUCUGGGAGUUACCUAUCUAAUAGAACAACAGAAGGUUUUCUUUAAUGGAAGCUUAACUAAUGCAAAUUUGGUGAGUGUGGUGUACAGCAAGGCAGCUGGCUAGGGCCAUUAUUGUUUUCUGUUUUUACUAAUGACCUUCCAUUGACCUUGAAUAAAGCCUGUGUGUCAGUUGGUCCUGAACAGAGCAGCACGUAUUGCACUUAGAUGUACUCGGAGGGCGAAUGUCAGCAACUUCGUAAACAUUAACAUGCAUGUCAAUCUCUCCCGGCUCAAAGUUGAGGUCUUUGUGCGAGGUAUUGAUGUGUUGAAGGUACAGAACUGUCUGUUCAACACAAGACAUGUAAUCAGAGGUCUCUUCACAGUCCCCAGGUCCAGAAAAGAGGCUGAGAAACACACAGAGCCAUGACUACAUGGAACUCUGCCACCCCAGGUAACUCAAGAUAGCAAUACAUCCAGCUAAAAAAAACAGAUAAAGAACACCUUACAACACAACAGGGAUUGUGAACAGACACAAACAUUUUCUUGCAUACUUAUUUCCCACCAUAAUUUGCAAAUAAAUUCAUUUUCUGGAUUUUUUUCUCAUUUUGUCUGUCAUAGUUGAAGUGUACCUAUGAUGAAAAUUACAGACCUCUCAUCUUUUUAAGUGGGAGAACUUGCACAAUUGGUGGCUGACUAAAUACUUUUUUGCCCCACUGUAUAUUAUGUAUGUUAUUUAUAUUAUGUAGUAUUAUGCAUAUUAUGUAGUAUUAUGUAUAUAUGUAUAUUAUGUAGUAUUAUGUAUAUUAUGUAUUUUAUUUGUUGUUUUGUUUCCUGUUUGGACCCCAGGAAGAGUAGCGGCUAAUCAGGGAUCCCAAUAAAAUACUAAAUACUGAACUCUUUGUCUCUCUCUCUUCUCUCUCCAUUUCUUUCUCUACCAUCUCUCUCUUUUAGUAUUAUCUCUCUCUUUGUCUCUCUCUGUGUGUCUCUCUCUCUCUCUCCAACUCUCUCUCUACCCUGCUCUCUUNNNNNNNNNNNNNNNNNNNNNNNNNNNNNNNNNNNNNNNNNNNNNNNNNNNNNNNNNNNNNUGGAGCAGCCCAGACAUCAGCCUGGAGCCGCCCAGACAUCAGCCUGGAGCAGCCCAGACUUCAGCCUGGAGCAGCCCAGACAUUGGCCUGGAGCAGCACAGACACUAGCCUAGAGCAGCCCAGACAUCAGCCUGGAGCAGCCCAGACAUCAGCCUGGAGCAUCACAGACACUAGCCUAGAGCAGCACAGACAUCAGCCUGGAGUAGCCCAGACACACAGAGACAGUAACCCAGACACACACAGAUGUGUCUAAUGGAGUCGGACGGACUGAAUUCCCACAGGGUCAGAGAAAGAGAAGGAAGAAGAAAGGGUAGGAGGAUAGAAACAUGAGAGGAAGGGAGAGAGAGAGAUAGGAAGGGUUGAGGGAGAGGGCAGAAGGAGAGGAAGAUAACCUUUGGUUUAGCUUCCAAUUUCACUUUUGGUUUCUUCUCUCUCUCCCUUCCCC